GGACCCAAAGCUCAGUUGGUUGAGCCGCGCCCUCAGAUGAGUGUCCGUUAUAUUCGCGGGCGGCGUUGGUGAGGGUUCGAAUCCCUCGGGGUCCA